rnacentral:tRNA from 1 species
GCUGGUGUUGCUCAGUGGAUAGAGCGUCAGCCUGCAGACUAAAGGGUGCUGGGUUCGAUUCCAGCCAAGGGCA